rnacentral:rRNA from 1 species
GAGAAUAGGCCCAAGCGACUGUUUACCAAAAACAUAGGUUUCUGCUAAGUCGCAAGACGAUGUAUAGGAGCUGACGCCUGCCCGGUGCUGGAAGGUUAAGGGGAUCUGUUAGAGCAAUCGAAGCAGUGAACUUAAGCCCCAGUAACCGGCGGCCGUAACUAUAACGGUCCUAAGGUAGCGAAAUUCCUUGUCGGGUAAGUUCCGACCCGCACGAA